rnacentral:lncRNA from 1 species
AUGGAGGGUGCAGCUGCAGCUACACCCUUGCUCCAGGCUACAGUGGACAACAUCUGUCACUGCUCCAGAGACACACAGCUGCAUUCGCUCCAUCCAAGAGAGCAGCUACAGAGCAUUAUUUUGUUUCCCCUACUGUGUGGAUCUUCUACCCAGCAGCAGAGAAGAAAACUACUAUUAAAAAUGCAGCUCUGCUUUAUGGAGGCCCUGGAUUCUCACAGCAAGAGCUGAUGAAAUGACAGAGAAUCAGAGAACGGUGAGAAUAAAUUCUGGAUAAAAUAAUCCUAAUAGAAAACA